GACGAACGCUGGCGGCGUGCCUAAUACAUGCAAGUAGAACGCUGAAGGAGGAGCUUGCUCUUCUGGAUGAGUUGCGAACGGGUGAGUAACGCGUAGGUAACCUGCCUUGUAGCGGGGGAUAACUAUUGGAAACGAUAGCUAAUACCGCAUAAGAGUAGAUGUUGCAUGACAUUUACUUAAAAGGUGCAAUUGCAUCACUACCAGAUGGACCUGCGUUGUAUUAGCUAGUUGGUGGGGUAACGGCUUACCAAGGCGACGAUACAUAGCCGACCUGAGAGGGUGAUCGGCCACACUGGGACUGAGACACGGCCCAGACUCCUACGGGAGGCAGCAGUAGGGAAUCUUCGGCAAUGGACGGAAGUCUGACCGAGCAACGCCGCGUGAGUGAAGAAGGUUUUCGGAUCGUAAAGCUCUGUUGUAAGAGAAGAACGAGUGUGAGAGUGGAAAGUUCACACUGUGACGGUAUCUUACCAGAAAGGGACGGCUAACUACGU
rnacentral:rRNA from 1 species